AUGGCUGAAGAGUCUAAUUGGAUUGUAACUCUCGUGAAGAGUCCUACUUGGACUAGGAGUCUGUGGGAGAGUCCCACUAAGACUAAGACUCUACCAUUUAUGAAGAAUUAAUUAAUAAUUAGAUUACUAAUUCAUUCAAUUUGAUUGAGUAAAGAGCUUUGGAAUAAGUCUAAUUGAAUUAGAUUCAGUUCGACUCAGAUUGGGAUUG
rnacentral:lncRNA from 1 species